rnacentral:rRNA from 1 species
CUAAAUACUACCCAGUGACCGAUAGCGUAUAGUACUGUGAAGGAAAGGUGAAAAGAACCCCGGGAGGGGAGUGAAAAGAACCUGAAACCUUGUGCUUACAAGCACACAAAGCACGUCAACGUGUGAUGUGGUACCUUUUGUAGAAUGGUCCGGCGAGUGAAUGUAACUGGCGAGGUUAAGUUCUUAAGGAACGGAGCCGAAGCGAAAGCAAGUCUGAAUAGGGCGUCUUAGUCAGUUGUAUUCGACCCGAAACCGGGUGACCUAUCCAUGUCCAGGAUGAAGUUAAGGUAAAACUUGAUGGAGGUCCGAACCCACGGUCGUUGAAAUGCCCGGGGAUGAGAUGUGGAUAGCGGAGAAAUUCCAAUCGAACCCGGAUAUAGCUGGUUCUCUCCGAAAUAGCUUUAGGGCUAGCCUCGACUGAACAUUACCGGAGGUAGAGCACUGAAUGGGCUAGGGGCCGAGAGGUUACUGAACCCUAUCAAACUUCAAAUGCCGGAAAAUGAUAGUCGGGAGUCAGACUGCGUGAGAUAAGUUUCGUAGUCGAAAGGGAAACAGCCCAGACCCACAGCUAAGGUCCCAAAGUACGGUUAAGUGGAAAAGGAUGUGGAGUUGCACAGACAACCAGGAUGUUGGCUUAGAAGCAGCCACUCAUUAAAAGAGUGCGUAAUAGCUCACUGGUCGAGUGACUCUGCGCCGAAAAUUUAACGGGGCUAAACUAUACACCGAAGCUUGGGAUACAUCUAAUGUAUGGUAGGAGAGCGUUCUGUAAGGGGAGAAGUCGUAGCGAAAGCGGCGGUGGACUUUACAGAAGUGAGAAUGCCGGAAUAAGUAGCGAGAAUUAAGUGAGAAUCUUAAUGGCCGAAAGUCUAAGGUUUUUGGAGGAAGGUUCGUCCGCUCCAAGUAAGUCGGGAGCUAAGGUCAGGCCGAAAGGCGUAGCCGAUGCACAUACGGUUGAUAUUCCGUAACCAUCUGUAAUUUAAGCAAAGGGACACUUCAAAAGGGUGUGACCCGGGCGUUGGUUGACCCGGGCGUAAGGGACCGAAAUUAGAGUAGGGAAGCACACUUGGCUGAAGGCGAGAAAAGCUUUGCGUAUAGAAACAGAUGCCCGUACCGCAAACCGACACAGGUGGACAGGAAGAGAAUUCUAAGGCCAGCGGGAGAAGGGUAGUUAAGGAACUCGGCAAAUUGACUCCGUAACUUCGGAAUAAGGAGUGCUCGAAAGAGCCGCAGAGAAUAGGCCCAGGCGACUGUUUAGCAAAAACACAGGUCUCUGCCAAAUCGAAAGAUGAAGUAUAGGGGCUGACACCUGCCCGGUGCCGGAAGGUUAAGAGGAGGAGUGAGAGCUCCGAAUUGAAGCCCCGGUAAACGGCGGCCGUAACUAUAACGGUCCUAAGGUAGCGAAAUUCCUUGUCAGGU